ACGAACGCUGGCGGCGUGCUUAACACAUGCAAGUCGAACGGAAAGGCCCUGCUUGCAGGGUACUCGAGUGGCGAACGGGUGAGUAACACGUGGGUGAUCUGCCCUGCACUUCGGGAUAAGCUUGGGAAACUGGGUCUAAUACCGGAUAGGAGCCAUCUUUAGUGUGGUGGUUGGAAAGUUUUUUCGGUGUAGGAUGAGCUCGCGGCCUAUCAGCUUGUUGGUGGGGUAAUGGCCUACCAAGGCGGCGACGGGUAGCCGGCCUGAGAGGGUGUACGGCCACAUUGGGACUGGGAUACGGCCCAGACUCCUACGGGGGGCAGCAGUGGGGAAUAUUGCACAAUGGGCGCAAGCCUGAUGCAGCGACGCCGCGGGGGGGAUGAAGGCCUUCGGGUUGGAAACUCCUUUCGCUAGGGACGAAGCUUUUUGUGACGGUACCUAGAUAAGAAGCACCGGCUAACUACGUG
rnacentral:rRNA from 1 species